ACUUGAAGGCGCUGGACCUGAGGGCGCCCGACCAGGAGGCGCCCGAGCAGGCGCCCGACCUGAAGGUGCCCGACCACAAGACAUCCGACUCCGAGCCCCGCGGCCCUGCAACCCUAAUCUCGGCCAAGUCGACCUCGAUCGACUUUGACCCUGAAGGAGACCCAGUCAGAGAACAAGGCAAACUCCUCCACUCUGCCAGGAACCGAGCCUUCUAGGGCCCCAUCCUAUGAUCUCCGCCUGAAUGGCUGUCAACAAUUAAUGCACAUGGUCUUCACAGAUUUCCGGCUUACUCAACAAUAAAUGCGCAUGCCCUCCACGGAUCUCCAGCCUACUCAAAAUCUUAAACCCUCCACAACAACCAGUUGACUCACUCAACUACGUCCAGUCAUCCACAACAACUCAUCAGCUCCAGUCUGGCUCUCCACGGCAGCGCAUUAAUUCACACGAUCGUGCUCCAUCAUGGCGGUAACUCAUUCAAUUCGCCCAGUCACAUCACAGGUAACUCUGUACCCUCCUAUAAAAGAAGAACCUCUCCCCCUUGAACGGGGAUCUUGACUUUCAGAACUUUGGCAUGUAACCUCUCUCUCCUUCCCCACAAAAGCCCUCUCUGACUUAAGCUUCAGAGGGCCGGCGCCGGAAACCCCGGCCACCGGCUUCUUGCAGGUCCCUUGGAGGACGCAGCCCGCCCACGUACCGCCACCCGCCAUUUCCUGCCGGAGCUCCUCCUUCUCAGCCAAUGGUCGCCCUCGGGUUCAAUUUCCAGCAACAAUUGGUGCCCUGGAACAUAUUUUACUAAGGAGCAGAAAGGGCUGCAUGAUAUAAUAUUUACAUAAAGAUAGUGAAUAGAUUUUUGAUAAACCCAAAACAACUAAGAUACAUAAAUCCAUCCAAGUUAAAUCUUUUCUAAUUAUGCUGUAGCAAGCAAGAAUGUGCCAUGUCAUUGCAUUUGAUGCAUUGUACGAUCAUAACUUCAUGCCUAGAAUUAUACCACUCGUUGCACAGUCCCUUAACAUUAAUAGAGGAUGUCUGUAUAACAUUUUAAGGAACUUCUUGAAUAUAAUUCUACAAAACAUCAUUACAAUCUAGUGAUUGUGUCAUUAGCGGUCAUAAGAAUGUUUCUCCAAUUUAGGAGUUUUCUUUCUCGAGGUUGAGGGCAAGAUAAAUCUACUUUUGGUUCCUUAUUUGGAGGUCUGCUAAGAGUUUCAAAAGGUUCUCUUCCAUCAUAAUGUCUUCCAACCAUUCCUGAUUUUUUUUACUUGCAAGACACUCUCACUCUCAAAAAUUAUAUACGUGCAAAGCAUUCAAUUCCUCUUAUUUUAAAGAAAUUCUAGACUCUAUAUGUUAAGAUCUCUAUAGCUUCUUUCCAUCCAAAUGGACAGCCACUACAUGAGAUGAAAUUUUGCUGUGGAACCCUCGCUUCACUUUUUUCGUAUCGGAAUUUUCAGAGCAUUCUAAGGGUUCAAUAUAUAUUGGUAUGCUAUAAUACUUAUUAUUAAUAUUAGCACAACAUAGCAAUAUUUACUAUUAUAAUAUUAUGCUAGUGUUAUAUUUUAGUAAAUAUUUAAUAUUUAUCAUAUGCUAUAGCUAAUACUAUAAUAAUAAUUAUUAU
rnacentral:lncRNA from 1 species